ACCAAGGCUUCGAUGGGUAGCUGAUGUGAGAGCAUGAUCAGCCACACGGGCACUGAGACACGGGCCCGACUCCUACGGGAGGCAGCAGUGAGGAAUAUUGGUCAAUGGGCGGAAGCCUGAACCAGCCAUGCCGCGUGGGGGACGAAGGCGUUCUGCGUUGUAAACCCCUUUUGUCCGGGAAGAAACCGCCGAUCUCCAUCGGCGUUGACGGUACCGGAGGAAUAAGCACCGGCUAACUCCGUGC
rnacentral:rRNA from 1 species